AGCCUGCCCAGUGACUCCCAGAGUUCAACGGCCGCGGUAUCCUAACCGUGCGAAGGUAGCGUAAUCACUUGUCUUCUAAAUAGAGACUAGUAUGAAAGGCACCACGAGGGUUAAACUGUCUCCCCCUUCCAAUCAGUGAACCUAACCUCCCCGUGAAAAGGCGGGGAUUUUAAUAUAAGACGAGAAGACCCUGUGGAGCUUAAAACAUUAAUACAUGUGCUACAUAAUUAAACUUUAACCUCGAGCACAAUGUCCACAUGUUUUUGGUUGGGGCGACCACGGAGAAAAACCCACCCUCCGUACUGAAACACUAAACUACAAGCCACAGCUUUAUGAAUCAACAAAUUGACAUCCAUUGACCCAAUAUAUUGAUUAAUGAACCAAGUUACCCCAGGGAUAACAGCGCAAUCCACUUUGAGAGCCCCUAUCGACAAGUGGGCUUACGACCUCGAUGUUGGAUCAGGGUACCCAGGUGGUGCAACCGCUACCAAAGGU
rnacentral:rRNA from 1 species